rnacentral:tRNA from 1 species
UGGGGCGUAGUGUAAUUGGUAGCACGACGGAUUCUGGCUCCGUUAGUUGGGGUUCAAGUCCCUGCGCCCCAGCCU